CUCUGGUCUCCCCCUAAAAUGCUUUGCUAAAGCUGGUAAAAUGGAACCAAAUCAACUGUUUUAUGGAUUUGGUCCCCUUCAACCAGCUGUAGCUGUGCAUUGAUCACCCCGUGGAGCUCU
rnacentral:precursor_RNA from 8 species